rnacentral:rRNA from 1 species
UGGUAAGGUAAGUUCCUGGUAAAAUUGGGCAGCUUAACUGUCCUUAUGCUAGGAAUACUGCUUUACUAGAGGGCGGGAGAGGUCUGAGGUACUACAGGGGUAGGAGUGAAAUCUUAUAAUCCUUGUAGGACCACCAGUGGCGAAGGCGUCAGACUGGAACGCGCCUGACGGUGAGGGACGAAAGCCAGGGGAGCGAACCGGAUUAGAUACCCGGGUAGUCCUGGCCGUAAACGAUGCACACUAGAUGAUGGUGCGGCCAUGAGCCGUAUCAGUGUCGUAGGGAAACCGUUAAGUGUGCCGCCUGGGAA